rnacentral:rRNA from 1 species
UACGGAGGGGGUUAGCGUUGUUCGGAAUUACUGGGCGUAAAGCGUACGUAGGCGGAUCAGAAAGUAUAGGGUGAAAUCCCGAGGCUCAACCUCGGAACUGCCUUGUAAACUCCUGGUCUUGAGUUCGAGAGAGGUGAGUGGAAUUCCAAGUGUAGAGGUGAAAUUCGUAGAUAUUUGGAGGAACACCAGUGGCGAAGGCGGCUCACUGGCUCGAUACUGACGCUGAGGUACGAAAGUGU